rnacentral:rRNA from 1 species
GAUCAGUGGCUACAGGACGAACGCUGGCGGUGUGCUUCACACAUGCAAGUCGAACGAGGUAGCAAUACCUAGUGGCGGACGGGUGAGUAACGCGUGGGAAUCUGCCUUUAGAUGGGGGAUAACGGGUCGAAAGACUCGCUAAUACCGCAUAUGACGAAAGUUGAAAGGAGUAAUCCGUCUAAAGAUGAGCCCGCGUCCGAUUAGCUAGUUGGUAGAGUAAAAGCCUACCAAGGCGACGAUCGGUAGCUGGUCUGAGAGGAUGAUCAGCCACAAUGGGACUGAGACACGGCCCAUACUCCUACGGGAGGCAGCAGUGGGGAAUUUUACGCAAUGGGCGAAAGCCUGACGUAGCGACACCGCGUGAGCGAAGAAGCCCCUUGGGGUGUAAAGCUCUGUCAGCUGGAACGAAAAAAUGACGGUACCAGCAGAGGAAGCAUCGGCUAACUACGUG